UACAGAGGUCUCAAGCGUUGUUCGGAAUCACUGGGCGUAAAGCGUGCGUAGGCUGUUUCGUAAGUCGUGUGUGAAAGGCGCGGGCUCAACCCGCGGACGGCACAUGAUACUGCGAGACUAGAGUAAUGGAGGGGGAACCGGAAUGCGUGGUGUAGCGGUGAAAUGCAUAGAUACCACGCAGAACUCCGAUUGCGAAGGCAGCGCACCGGCGCCCUACUGACGCUCAGGCACGAAAGCGUGGGUAUCGAACAGG
rnacentral:rRNA from 1 species